CUGAGACUUCUUCUGGCUGAAGAUUUCUACAUUUAGUUUCUGUCAAAAAGAGAACUCUUUUGAAGACUAUGAAGAGGGUCAUUUACCACCGGCGCUACUCAGUGGUUAGGCAGGGCAUGGCGAGUCCUCUUCUUUCCUGGAACUCCUGUUGACAGCCAUGAGCUUGACCUGCAGUGACUCAGCCAUCCGGACAGGCCACACAUUCCAAUCCACCAAAGAAAGGAUGCUUUACUCAAAGAAAGAAGAGAUAAUUCUCUACUCUACAGGAACUGCACAAAAUUGGGAAGCCUGCCACAUUGUACUUCCUUCCAUUUUACUGAUGUACUACUAGACUGACAAAGCAAUAUACAAA